rnacentral:rRNA from 1 species
CACGAAGUUAGCCGGGGCUUCUUCUCCGGUUACCGUCAUUAUCUUCACCGGUGAAAGAGCUUUACAAUCCUAAGACCGUCAUCACUCACGCGGCAUGGCUGGAUCAGGCUUGCGCCCAUUGUCCAAUAUUCCCCACUGCUGCCUCCCGUAGGAGUUUGGGCCGUGUCUCAGUCCCAAUGUGGCUGAUCAUCCUCUCAGACCAGCUAUGGAUCGUCGCCUUGGUAGGCCUUUACCCCACCAACUAGCUAAUCCAACGCGGGCUCAUCUAUCCCCGAUAAAUCUUUCCCCAAAAGGGCGUAUAGGGUAUUAGCACAAGUUUCCCUGAGUUAUUCCCUAGAGAUAGGUAGAUUCCCACGCGUUACUCACCCGUCUGCCACUCAUCCCGAAGGAUGCGUUCGACUUGCAUGUGUUAAGCCUGCCGCCAGCGUUCGUUCUGAGCCAGGAUCAAACUCU